GCUGCAGAAGCCGGGCGGGGGCCGACCCGCCGAUCGUGGCGGCGCUGCAGAAGCCGGGCGGCGGCCGACCCGCCGAUCGUGGCGGCGCUGCGGAA
rnacentral:tRNA from 1 species